ensembl:lncRNA
GUGGUGGGAAAAUGAAGUGUGUUACACACACCACCCUGCCAACCCGGUUCACCCCUGCCAGAACAAUCUAAGAGCUCGGUUCCCCCGAGUUAGUUUUCCUGGAGGCAUUUUUGUCUCAGCGAGGUGGAUGUCGGCAGGUGAAACAAUCAGCGGUUGGUGGAUGGACAGGAUUUAAAUGAGAUGACAAAGCAAUUCUUCACUUCCUUCCUGCAAGCUGUCUAAAUAACUGGAGUUGGAGUUGCUGCCCAUCUGCAAAAAUGACACAUCUGAGAGGAGGGUCAAAGGUUGGCACCUUGGUGAUGUGUAGGACGACCAGUAUGGCACAGUAAUUGGCUGCUCGUCGUGACAUCGACUCGGCUGCUACCCAGAGAGAGAGCCAAAACACCCACAUGAUUUCUCGAAUCAAACACGGAGCACGGUGGAGAUCGGCUGAGGAUUAUUUCAUUAAAGCCAUAAUCCCUUCCGAAGCGUCUAGGAGUCAUGCAUUUCCCAGAAAAAUGAAGUCUUUGGACGUGAUGUGCCGACUGACACCUAUCAGAUCCACUUGAGCGGAUUCAGGCCUGAUAAAAAAUCCAACCUAACGCAGAAGCUUUGGAGAAGACUUCUUUACAGAGGUACUUAGCAAAUCACUCGAGAGCUCCGCAGACACACUAUAGAGCUUCCACAACUAAAACUUUCUCACAAACACUGAAAAUGUAAGGCUAAAGAGGCCGAUCCCACUGAGCACGUGAACUCUGUAUUUUCCUUCUGAUGUGAAGAACUGGGACAGCAGUGCAGAACCGGCCCAGAUGUAGUGUCUGUGCAUGCUGGAGAAAAUGCAAGUUGGCAUAACUGUGUUUGAGUACGGCCGAGAGUGGCUCAAGAGAUUCUUUAUUUGGGUUGAGCUGAAAGAUAUCAAAAACGGAUAUCAAACCCCUUUUGCUUAAGUCAGGGGAGAUGAAGACAGUCAGCGAAAUUAUCAUUGGCACUUUA